UGGGCCGCGUUGGGGUCGAUGGGCGCGGGCGCGGGGUGGGGGAAGGGACGCUCUGCGCAUGCGCGCUCUGCAGUAGGGCCUGGAGCACCGGGCGGACGAACGGCGUCCCCUGGCGGCCCGGGCCCCGACGGCUGGCGUCACCUGGAGGGCCCUCCCGGCGUGUGGCCGAAGCGGUCACCCCGCUGGGACAGCCGUCGGGGCGGUAACGAGGGAAGGUGCCCACGUAGUAGGCGGGUGCUGAAAGCGCUUCCCAGGUGGGCAGUGGGGCGAGACGGAAACCCAGGCCCGGUGGCCUUUCGGCGCUGGCGCCGCGCGGUGUCAGACGGCCUCGGAGAGCGCCCCGCGCGCAGACCCGGGGCCUAACGGAGGGGACGCACCCGGGCCCCCGCACGCCUGUCCAAAGAAUACGACCAGUCCGCGGUGGUUUCUCGUCCGUCCGAACUCCCACGAAGUCGUGACGCGAACAAGACCCAGCGUGCUGGGAGGUUAAGGGGCCUCGCGGUCGGAGGAGGAAUGCCCACUGGCUAAGCAAGUCGGAGGAGCCUGGACUGGCAGCCCCCGCAUCGAAUUCAGGCGGUAAAGAAUGAUCAACUGCGUGCGAGGUACUGUGAGGAAAUACAAGGCGCUUGGAACCAUGGGGAGGAAAGACACCGAAGUAGCCAGAAUACUAUAACGGAGGGUUGGCAGAUCCACGGAGAACCUCCAGAACAAGAACAAUUAGACAAUGGGACAGACUCUCAACUCCACCCGAGUAAAAUGGUCGCACUGUAACAUGGUAAGAAAGGACUUCCCGGGGGAGGCAACAGGUAGAGAAGGAAAAGUCUAAAACUAACUAGGACGGCCAUCUGUCAGGUGCUUUAUGUGUCUUCACUCACGUUUAAAAGAAACAAGCCAAGAGAGCUCCGACCGUCAUGAGCCAGCCAGUGCAUGGCCAACGGCAAGGUCCCCGACCUCCACCCCCCGAUGCGUGGAACAACGGUCUUCCGUGACACUGGUCCCCGGUCACAAAACAGGUUGGGGACCGCUGGCCAGUGAGAUUUAAUUACGAACAUCUGCUGUUGUCGAAUACUUCUUAGUUAUAAUCCUUACAACAAUCCUGUAAAGUACCAUUUUAAAGAUGACAGUGCUGAGGUUCAAAAAAGGAAUUUGGUUCAAGCCACAGAGGCUGUAAGCAGUCAAAGCAGAAGCGUAUGUAAGCAGAUGAGACUGUUCCCAUAUAAUCCCAUCCGCACAGCAGGGCUGGAUUACGAAACAAGGCUGAGAAAGCAGGUUGGAGGCAGGUGGUAAGAGUCUUCGGCCCUUCACAAAUCAGCUUGGACGACGACGGCCUGUGUAUAACCGUAACCCUAUUCUGUUCCGAAGAGAACUGGAAGCAACUUACGUACGAGUCGCGUGAACGCAUGAGGACGGAAGAAAAGAGUGGAGAAUCAAAACACUGGAUGCUAUCCCACUGCCUGGACGCACCACAGUUUACCCAGCACCUACUGGAGGACAUCUCGGCUGCUUCCAGUUGUCGCCAUGACUGCUGUGAACAUCCAGGGGUAGGUUUUUGUGCAGACAGGUUUUCAGCUGCUUUGGGUAAAUGCCAAGGAGCAGGGUUGCUGGACUGUUCGGUUUCAUAAGGAACGGCAAACCGCCGUCCAAAGCAGCCGCACCGGGCCGCGCCCCCACCACUGGGAGUGAGAGCCCCUGCCGUGCCGCGUCUUCGCCAGCGUCUGCUGCUGUCGGUGUUCCGGGCCUCAGCCGUUUGGCCGCCAGCUGGAAUGCAAUGGUGUUGAACCUGCAUUUCCUGAUGCUGUGUGAUGUGGAGCAUCUUGUCGUGUGCUUAUGUGCCGUCUGUACAUCUUUGAUCCUUCCAAGAAACACUCUGUCCCGUGACACCACAGGAGAACUGGAUCGGAGGCCGGCAGGAGGCCGGAGUUCUCACGGUUCUGCCACUUGUAUGAUUUGGUGAUUUCUGAAGCUCACCUUUCUUUAAGGCAUAAGAAAUGGCUACAUAAAAACACUCCAGAAGUAGGCUAUGUCUGACAUUUGGCCACGAGAGGAAGGAAACUGGAGCUCUCACUUUAUCCUCAGCUGAGGUCCGAAACAAACGCUGCAGGUGUGGGUGGGAAACCCCAAGUGCACCGGAGACGACUGUGACGACCAGGUGAUGGACACGCCGUGUGGGCCACCCAGCAGCAAUGAAUGUGCGCAGGACACAAGUUGAGGCACAUAUUUAUGUGCCUUUGAAAAAUCAAAUAGGACCUGGCAAAGAUCAAGAGAGAUUUGUUUGCCUCAAAGAAGCACAAGAGAACUCCUUCUGUCAUGCCCCGCUUUCUACGUAAAGCCUCUUGGGAGGAGCAGUGCCCCAGCGAGGCCCAACCCCAAGUUCCAAGGCUUGUGUGCAGGUGGCAUAUGGGGCAACGUGACCUCAGAGAGCCAAAUGGGAGGAAGACCAAUGCAAGGACACGCUCUCCAGCUGCGGCCACCAUGACCCCUGCAGGGACCAUUGGAGAAGCCUCAUGAAACACAAUCCAGAACCACCUUCCAGGGGAACGGCAAAGAAGUUCAUGGGGGCAUUAGCACCCCUGCACUUCCGGGCGGCACAUGCCUGAGGGCGAAGUGGGCUCUGCCGAAGCCCUCCGGUGGCGCUCUCUGGACCAGGGGUCCAUCCCUGGAAGGAGCAGUCACUGUCCCCACCAGGGAGCCAGAUAAAUGCUUCGAGUAGGGAUGUGACAACUGGGGACACGCCUGUGCCCUGUGUUUGGCAGGGGCACUCCCAUGCAGCUCCUCUGGGAAUGCGGCGUUGCUUCGGAUUGCCCGGUUGAGGGACGAAAGGGAAUGGGUGCGUUCUAGGAGCACCUGCUGGCCCUUCCUGCCCUUCGGACAAGGCGUCAGUGUGCGGGUUCUCCGGUCACUGCUGUGAACCAGGUGGACCCGACCAAGGGCCCUGCUGUCGGGCCUCCUCAGCCCACCCUGCCGGGCUGUGAAUGAGGGAGACCAAGGGUGCUGUCCAGCAGCAGCUUUGCAGAGCCCCUCGAAGCCCGCACGGGACCCGGCUGCGGGAAGACGUGGGGCCGAGAGAACCCUGAACUGGGGGCAGGUAAGAGGUGCCCCCCCACCCCAGCAGGUGCCUCGAGGACGUGGCGGCAUGGGCGCCACGAAGAAACAUCAAACGUCCACACCGGCUCUUGGGUGGGGGUGCAACAGGUGGACGGUGAGGGGAGGCUAUCAGCACCGUCCGGCCCAGGUGCCGACAGCCAGGCAGACGUCAGAAGCGCUGGGAGGCGGGAACAAGAGGCCUGUGGUCAGUUACCAGUGUUUUAUUUCUGUGGAAUAAAGCUCGACAGAAGCCACA